rnacentral:rRNA from 1 species
GAUGAACGCUGACAGAAUGCUUAACACAUGCAAGUCUUUGGCGAAGCUGUGCUUGCACCGCCUAGCCAAGGCGGACGGGUGAGUAACGCGUAAGGAACUUGCCCUGCAGUCAGGGAUAACAGACGGAAACGACUGAUAAGACCUGGUAAAGUCAGGCGGACUCAUGUCCAGCCUGAUGAAAAGAGAUGCUGCAGGAGAGCCUUGCGUCCUAUUAGCUUGUUGGUGGGGUAACGGCCCACCAAGGCGAUGAUAGGUAGCCGGCCUGAGAGGGUGGACGGCCACAAGGGGACUGAGAUACGGCCCUGACGCCUACGGGAGGCAGCAGUGGGGAAUAUUGGACAAUGGGGGCAACCCUGAUCCAGCAAUUCUGUGUGCACGAUGAAGGUUUUCGGAUUGUAAAGUGCUUUCAGCAGGGAAGAAAAAAAUGACGGUACCUGCAGAAGAAGCGACGGCUAAAUACGUG